UGUAUGAGUGCGGACACAGAUUAUGCAGUAGAGAAUAUGAGGGAUCAGCUCAUCCAGAGUGCAAAGGCCGAACCUCGCCCUGGGUGAACCUCCUUCGUGAUCAAGGUGUCUCCCCUGCCAGAAGCGCUGCUCAGCAUCCUGGAACUUCUUGUCCAGGAUGGACACCAUCUUCCUCACCACCUUCAUGAUCAUGUAGUUGUUCAGGACACUGCUCAGUGCUUGCAAUGAGGUCAGAGACCUUCUGGAGGUAGUCCUUGGCGUAUACCACCACAGGCUCGGAGUCAUUUAGAAGAACAGGAGCAAACACGUCUGUGAGGUAAGGCAUCCAGUCCACCGCAGGAGCCAAUGUCUACCGACACACAGAAACAAUGAUAAUGUCAACAUCUACUCGUGCACAGAUUUGCAUUUCUUUUUUAUAAAUCAGCAGGUAUGAACAGAAAGUAGGAAGAAAGACCUUGGAGAAGGCACUGUUAAACCAAAAAUGCAAUCUAUGCAAAAUACACUUGUUGAUUGAGACAGCCAGUUGUGGAAAAAGUACCCAAUUGUCAUACUCGAGUAAAAGUAAACAUACCUUAAUAGAAAAUGACUCAAGUAAAAGGUCACCCAGUAAAAUACUACUAGAGUAAAAGUAUUUGGUUUUAAAUAUACAUAAGUAUCAAAAGUAAAUUGAAUUGCAAAAAGAUACUUAAGUAUCAAAAGUAAAACACAAUAAUUUGAAAUUGCUUAUAUUAAGCAAACCAGAUGGCACAAUUCUUGUUUUUUACAUUUCUUUAAGGAUAGCCUGGGGAACACUACAACACACAGACAUAAUUUACAAACGAAGCAUGUGUAUUUAGUGAGUCCGCCAGAUCAAAAGGCAGUAGGGAUGACAAGGGAUGUAUUCUUGAUAUGCGUGUGAAUUGCACCAUUUUCCUGUCCUGCUAAGCAUUCAAAAUGUAACAAGUACUUUUGGGUAUAUGGGAAAAUGUAUGGAAUAAAAAGUAUAUUAUUUUACUUAGGAAUAUAGUGAAGUAAAAGUUGUCAAAAAUAUAAAAACAGGAAAGUACAGAUACACAAAAUUACUUAAGUAAAAAAUACUUUAUAGUACUACUUAAGUACUUUACACCACUGGAGAUAGGUCAAUCUGGAAGUCAUCUACUGUAUGUUGAUGUUUGGAUCAUCUGAAGUUGCAGAGAGAUGCAAGUCAUUCUGGGACUGACCGCCAGAUCCUUUGCCUGGAUCUUAUGGUAAAUUAGCUCCUCGUCCCUCCUCUCCUCCUGGGGUACGGUGAUGUUGGCCAGGGUGGUCUCAAAGUCCACAAUUUCCUGCAUCAGCGAUCUGGAUGUGUCCUGUGAGCCACCCAACAGGACCCCUAACUCCACCAGGAAGUCUAGUGCCAACAGAAAAACCGAAGCGUUCUAAUUGAGAUCGAUGUCAAAGUGGACAAUCCGUCCACCUGGCUUCGGUUGGGUUGGUGAGGGGGUGGGACUCCCCAUCCCCUAAGGAGGAAUCUUACCUAGCAGGUGCUUCAUGAUGGCCAUGUUGCGCUCCCAUAGGUUGCUGAAGGGACCCCAUCGGGACUUUCCCUCAGGGAGGGGGUUGUUCCGUACCCAUCCCCCACAGGCAAAGCUGUAGAAGUCGUGGCAGGGGUCCACAGAACGGUCCAGGGCUCCAAUCACAGCACUGGCCACAAUAAUGCAUGGUUCUGUCCGACACACACCUGGGUGAGCUGCCAACGGAGUGGGACAAGCAGCUAAACAUACUGUAUCAAAUAUAUUUGACAGACACUGCUACUUUAGCCUCAACAGUUAGACAUCACUAUCGCUUUGAUUAAACAACUAGUAAACUCAGCAAAAAAAGAAACGUCCCUUUUUCAGGACCCGUUCUUUCAAAGAUCAUUUGUAAAAAUCCACCAAUCUUAAUUGUAAACGGUUUAAACACUGUUUCCCAUGCUUGUUCAAUGAACCAUAAACAAUUAAUGAACAUGCAGCUGUGGAACGGUCAUUAAGACACCAAUGGCUUAUAAAAAGUAGGCAAUUAAGGUCACAGUUAUGAAAACUUAGGACACUAAAGGAGGCCUUUCUACUGACUCUGAAAAACACAAAAAGAAAGAUGCCCAGGGUCCCUGCUCAUCUGCGUGAACGUGCCUUAGGCAUGCUGCAAGGAGGCAUGACGACUGCAGAUGUGGCCAGGGCAAUACAUUGCAAUUUCCGUACUGUGAGACGCCUAAGACAGAGCUACAGGGAGACGGGAUGGACAGCUGAUCGUCCUCAUAGUGGCAGACCACGUGUAACAACACCUGCACAGGAUAGGUACAUCACACCUGCAGGACAGGUACAGGAUGGCAACAACAAUUGCCCGAGUUACACCAGGAACGCACAAUCUCUCCAUCAGUGCUCAGACUGUCCCCAAUAGGCUGAGAGAGGCUGGACUGAGGGCUUAAAGGUCUGUUGUAACGCAGGUUCACACCAGACAUCACCAGCAACAACUCGCCUAUGGGCACAAACCCACCGUCGCUGGACCAGAAAGUACUGGCAAAAAGUGCUCUAAAUUGACGAGUUGCGGUUUUGUCUUACCAGGGGGGAUGGUUGGAUUUGCUUUUAUCGUCGAAGGAAUGAGCGAUACACCGAGGCCUGUACUCUGGAGUGGGAUUGAUUUGGAGGACAGGAAUGCAAGACAGGAAUGUCAGUGUUGUGCCAUGGCCAGUGAAGAGCCAGGAUCUCAAUCCCAUUUAGCACGUCUGGGACCUGUUGGAUUGGAGGGUGAGGGCUAGGGCCAUUCCCCCCAGAAAUGUCUGGGAACUUGCAUGUGCCUUGAGUUUGGUAACAUCUCACAGCAAGAACUAGCAAAUCUGGUGCAGUCCAUGAGGAGGAGAUGCACUGCAGUACUUAAUGCAGCUGGUGGCCACACCAGAUACUGACUGUUACUUUUGAUUUUGACCCCCUUCCUUUGUUCAGGGACACAUUAUUCAAUUUCUGUUUGUCACAUGUCUGUGGAAUCUUGUCACAUGUCAGUUGUUGAAUCUUGUUUAUUUUCAUACAAAUAUUUACACAUGUUAAGUUUGCUGAAAAUAAAUGCAGUUGACGGUGA